UUUAAGGUGAUGGCUAACUGAACCUUUGACUGGUAACCUAACUGUAGAUAGCAUUUAACUUGAAGAAAAACAAAGUAGAAAUGUUUGGGUAGUUUACAAUGUAUGUGUUUUAGGUGCCAUCUGUUUGUUAUAUGUCUGUGACUCGAACCAUUAACAGGAACUAGUUGUAAAAGAGAAACAGAAAUUGUACUGACUAAGGCCACCAGAAAUGUGGUAAUGGCUAAAAGAAGAUAUAAAAGGAAAUGUUAAAGCAAAGGAUGGGGCGGACAUCGAUCAGACGAGUUUUGGGCGGUCCCCCUCACUAGCGAGUAAAGGCUUUGGUUUUUUACCCAAAUUCUGUGUCUCUGUACAUUUCUUUCCACAAUUGCAGAACAUUUGGUUCCCUGACUGACCGGGAAUUGGGAAAGAAGUGGCCCUUUUGGCUAUUGGCCCAAACUCCACUGGAGGGAGAGGCUCUCUGUCUCCUCCAGAGGAAAGGCACCCCUGGGACUAAUUUCCUAGGCUCCCCAACAGGACACAGAGAUCCGCUUACCAGUUGCAGAUCGCCUGAACUCGAGAAUGGAAGACGACAGAAGGAGGACUGCUGCUGUUGGUGUCUUGUCUGUCUCCUUCCUUGGCUGGGUGCAGAGGGGUGGGGACAACAGCCUGAGAAUUGCUCAACUUUGGUGCACCACAGGGUGCGUGCUGUGGUCAGACUCAGAGAGGAUCGAAUGGGGCUCGCACUCAAAUUGGAUAAAGGAAUUGAAAAGAGAAAAUAAGUAAUGGAUUGAAAACAGCUAAGAAAGCUCUGAAGGGCAUAAAACAAGCCAGAGAAAUUGUUACCAUCACGAUGAGAUCUCUUCCUGGAUCUAAAUGCAGAGACGCAGAGACGCAGUUCCUCAUUGGGUGACAGUUAUUGUAGCUCCCAAUUUAGAUAACAAAUCUCUUCCCAGUAAGGGGAUAGGACAUUUUAGAUUCAUACAUGGGUGUGAGAACUGAUACAGAGACCCAUACCUGCCUUACCCAGGCAGACCCUCUGGUGACCUCUUAUGAAAAGAAAGCACAAUGUUACAGAGGCUGACACAGUUGGAAGACAGAAUAUGUAUUUCCACCUCGCUUCCCACUAAGCCAGCGCCCUCUCUCAUCAAGGGCAACCUGUCCUCAUUCUCCUUCUCCAUAAUGUCAUCAUUUCAAGAACAUUAUUUAAAUGGAGUCAUGCAGUAUGGAGACUUCCAGUUCCGGCUUUUCUCGCUCAGGACAUUUGUGGGAGCCUCAGCUGACUUGUCCUCUCUGUGGUUUGUUUCUGUCUCUCUGGAUGUACCAUGACUUGUUUGCUCACUAACAGAGGGACAACCAGGUUGCUUCCAAGGGGCCAUCAUGAAGAGAGCUGCUAUAAAUGCUGGUGCAGGUGUCUAUGUGAGCACAGACCUUCUUCUCAUGAGAGAAAUGCCCUUUCACUGCAGCCUGUGGUAGUGGUGUGCUUAUUUUUUCUAAGAAACUGCCAACCUUUUUCCAGAGUGACUGUGCCAUUUGCAUCCCCACCAGUAGCGUACAAGUGCUCGAGCGUCCUCAAAACUUCCCCAGCAGUUGUCAUGGUCACUAUUUUUCAUCUUGGGCAUUCUGAGAGGUAUGCGGUGACACCUCAUCCUGACAACCAGGAACGUCUUCGUGGACUCACCUGCUGUCCGCCUGUCCUCUCCACUGACACAUGGAAAGGAAAAGCCAGUGGACACUUCCCCAGCAGUGGCGACCCUUACCCACAUUCUUCUGUGCCCUAUAAUUAUGAAGCCCAUUAAAUCUGUUUACUGUACCAGGCAUUCUUCCGGCCUCUUGGAUAGGAAACCUUGCACAAACCCAACAGACUUGUGACCACAGACCCAAAGACUCAAUCCCCAGAACAGCCAGCCUUGGCUUCCACCUUCCCUCAGUGCCUCAUAGGCCCUGCUCUGUAAGAGAAGCUGCUGUUGCUGCCUCAGAGCCCAGGGCCCCUCUCAGGUCUUUAUCUAAAUAAAGCCUGUCCUUGCUGCCAGGUUUUCUUUCUCUUUUUAUUUCUUA